UCUAGUCAACCCUGGAAAGAAUUUCGUCAGCCUCCAUGUGAUCUAGCUCACUGGCUACUUGAUUAGGGAUAGGAAAAGGAACAGGAUGGGCUUUGUAAAACUUGGGUGUGGCAUUUUCAUUUAACACUAUUUGGCUCUUGAUAAGUUUGUGUUUUCCAGCGCCAUCUUUGAACACUGUUGUGGCAUCAUCCAGUAUCUUUCUUAAUUUGAUUUCGACUCUAUUGCAGGGAUGUGGCAUGCAAAUUAUGGAUGGAUCUCCAAUUAAAUUUUAGUUUUCUGAGCCUCUCAUGUCCCCACAAUACUGGCCUUCCUGUUCUUACCAGAUAAAUAAGAACAUAAGAAAUAAGAGCAGGAGUAGGCCAUCUAGCCCAUUGAGCCUGCCCCGCCACUCAAUAAGAUCAUGGCUGAUCUGUCCAUAAACUCAGCUCCAUCUACCUACCUUUUCCCCAUAACCCUUAAUUCCCCUACUAUGUAAAAAUCUAUCUAACUGUAUCUUAAAUGUGCUUAGUUAAGAAGCCUCAACUGCUUCCCUGGGCAGAGAAUUCCACAGAUUCACCACUCUCUGGGAAAAACUCAUCUCCAUCCUAAAUCUUCUCCUCCGAAUCUUGAGGCAAUACUCCCUAGUUCUAGUCUCACCUACCAAUGGAAACAACUUUCCUACUUCUAUCUUAUCUAUCCCUUUCAAAAUUUUGUAUGUUUCUAUAAGAUACCCUCUCAUUCUUCUGAAUUCCAGACAGUAUAGUCCUAGGCAACUCAAUCUCUCCUCAUAGGUUAACCCCUUCACCUCUGGAAUCAACCUGGUGAACCUCCUCUGCACUACCUCGAAAGUCAGUAUAUCCUUCCUGAAGAAUGGAGACCAGACCUGCACACAGUACGCCAGGUGCGGCCUCACCAGUACCCUGUAUAGUUGCAGCACGUUCACCGGGUAGGUUUCUGACUAGAUGCUGCAAUUUUGUUCAUGCUCAUUUUUGUUCCUGACUGUAACACAAAUGGAUCUCUGUCAACUGUUUCUAUUGAUAGAUCUACUUCAACUGCUUUUAAUUUGCGAUAACUUUCAACUGCAGUAAGUUGCAUUUUAAUUAGGAGUCAUUUUUGAAUGCUUUCUUGUAAGAUCACUCAGUAUAUCAUUAAAACCAUUACUGAACUGACAAUGCUCAGACAUCUUCUUCAAUUCAGCCAACUAAGCUGAAAUGGACUACUCUUCCCUUUGAUUCUGCUGAUGAAACCGAAAACAUUCUGCAAUCAACAAUGAGUCCUGAAGAAGAGUCUUGGCCUGAAAUGUCAACUGUUUAUUAAUUUCCAUAGAUGUUGCCUAUCCUGGUCAUUUAUAAAAAUCACGAAGAGUAGGUGUCCCAGAACAGAUCCCUGAGGCACCCCACUGGUGACCGACCUCCAUGCCGAAUAUGACCCGUGUACAACCAUUCUUUGUCUUCUGUGGAUGCUGCCUUAUCUGUCAAGAGCGUCCAGUAUUCUCUGCUUAUAUUAACUGAAUAUCUGUCAUGCUGCUGUCUGCAAGAUUCACAGGACACCAAGAGACAGCCCCUGAAUGCAAAUAUGAGAAGGUAGAAGGCCUAAUUUUUGUACCACAGCCUCCUUAAGCAUCUAUCAAGCAACUUGACCAGUGAGGAGAACAGCAGGAAACAGUGAACAAAAACAGAUUUUGCGCUGAAAUCAUUAGACUCCUAACUCUUGCCGUUAUCCUCAGGAUAAAUUCAGUAGCAGACUGAGCAUACACUGCUGAGUAUUAAGAAAGUGAAUAAUUGGGGGAACAUGUUAUGCUUGGAGUGGAAUUCUGAUUUGCAUUUUGUAUUUAUGUGUUAUGUCUGGGGAAGGAAUUGUACCAAAUUUGAGUGCAUGGCUUGGCACGUUGGAUCAAAAUUGAGCUUUGAUCUGAGGCACAUUUAUUUGAAGUUGACAGCACUGGCCUCCAUUUAUGUUUGUACUAAGUGAGCUCGCAGCUCCAGUGGUGGAACUACGAUAAUACAUUUUGAAGUCGACACUAUUGUCAGAUAGCUGCUGUCUCAGGUACAGACAACUGGAAAUUUUAUAAGUACCAUAUGAAACAAUAUAGGUCAUAAAGUCAGAGACAAAAGCAAUGCACUGAUUCUCAAAUUGUUCCUUCUGGGAAUAAUUUUGUCAAGGUUUCUAGACAGAAAAAGGAGAGCAUGUUUGUUCCUGUGUCAUGAUAAAUGUGUUAAAUUUGAUCUUUAUUCAGCUUAUUUCUGAUGCAUUGUACAUGAAGACUUUAAAAAGAUCAGAUAAUGUUAAAUGCUAUGUAUAUUGUCAUUCAAUGUUUAGAUUUCAAGUAUUUAAGGGAAAUAGCUGUAAUGAGUCUGGUUAACAGUGAAGCAAAGACUUCAUAUGAACUGUUCUCCAGAUAAAAUAUUAUAACCAAAGAAGAUAUCAUUUCUUUGAUGUAAUCAUUUCCUCUUACGUUCAAGGAGCUGUUUUGAAUUGCUGUUCAUUUCGGAAUCCAUUCUAAUGAUGCAUAUUAAACUGCUCCUGCUGAUACACGGUGCUGAAAUCCAGGAAUGCUUUGGCUGCAAAUGUUUAUGUGCCUUAAAUUAAAGUGUCCACGGAAUAAAACAUUAGGAUUUGAAUAAGAGUGGAAAAGAAGGUCAGAUAAACCUCAAGGGAAGGACUUGCUAGCGUCUGAAAAGGAUGGAUCUUCAAUAGAUCCCAGAGUAAAUGGAACUCAACAUGUGAAAAGUCCCUGUUUGAAGGAUUGGAAGGGACUUGGGGAAAUAAUCUCCGAGUGAGAGGUAGUGAUCUGGGACACAAGAGCUGUGAUGUUGGUGUAAGCAGAAACCUUAUUUAUCAUGAUGCAACUAAAAGUUUGCAGGGAGUAGGGGUUAAGUAUAAAUUUUAU